rnacentral:lncRNA from 1 species
AAUGUAAGUGAAGAAGAAAAUUUAACACUACCAAAUCACCAGAGUGACCUUCAGAAAACAAGAAAAAGGCUUUGGCUAGUAAUUUUCAGCAAUGUUGAGAAAAGAAAAACCCUGAUAUUUUCACUUUGAGUCUAUGACCAAAUUUCCAUAGUUUAGCAGUUUGGAAGGUUAGAUGCCUUUAACACUAGUACACACGAGUCACGACUCAGGUCUUCUUUUCCUUCUUUUUGUUUCUCUCUUGACAUGAUACAUUUCAGAUACCAUAAUACAGUAUUGGUCUGUUGACAAAUAUACCAAGGAAUAUUAAUUUUUUUGGACAGGCCUUUUUUUAUUAUUUUGACCAGAUUUACAUGUAAAUGUUCUCUAACGAGAAAUCAACUUUAGAAUAUAUCAUUUGUAGAUCGAAACACUGGAUCUGUAAAAUAUAUAUUGAAUAUGUUGUGUUAACAUUAUUCGGCUUUCUCCGGUCUAAGGCCUCUUUGAAACAAAGGAACAACAAAAGGAAGGACUAGUUUUUUGAGCAUGGUCUCUCUCCCUCUCCCUCUCUCUCAAACCUGAGUGUGGUCUGGAUUUUCUAUUUGUUAUGAUUUGUGAAGGAAGAGGACCCUUUCUUGUGGAAUUGGAAUUGGAGGGUGCAUUCCAAAAUUUCAAAAUUCAAACGGUUCUUUCCUUUCCUCCAGAACGCAGUUACUUUUGUGUCCUUACCCCCUCAGUGUCGUUGCUUCUUUAGGCCAGUCUCAAUGCACAAUUUCAUUGCAAUGUUACCAAAAUUAAAAAAUUUGGUAACUGUGCAUGUUGGGUUUCAUGGGGAUGAAACUCCUCUCUCAUUUCAUGAAACUCCAUCCUCUCUCUCCUCGUAAAGACCUUGACAAAUCAGCAAAAUUGCUGAUGUGGUAUAGAAAUUUAUACUGACAAAACUUUUUAUAAAACUCCCAUUGAGACUGGCCUUAGAUUGCAGCAACAUUCGGAUAUGUUUAGCUCCAAUGUAAUGAGAUGCUAAUUUGGUUCAAUUUCAUACUAGCGCUUUCAGUGUGAAGAAGCAUUAAUAAAGUCUACAACAUUCUAACUGUUGGUAUUCUACCCUAACAUGCAGGAAAAAUUCCGAAGUCUUUGUUCGCUCUUCCAGUCCUGCAGCAGCUUCGUCUAGUUAGGAAUCAGCUUGUUGGCUCACUAGAAGACAUUCCUGCUCCUUUAUCGUCACCAAUGCGGGAGAUGGAUUUAAGAGGUAAUCAAUUGACAGGCCCAAUACCAAAAUCACUUUUUCAGCUCACGAAACUUGAGCGUCUUCAUCUAGCUAGGAAUCAGCUUGUUGGCUCAAUAGAAGACAUUCCUGCUCCUUUAUCGUCACUAUUGUUGGAGAUCGAUUUAAGGGGUAACCAAUUGACAGGCCCAAUACCAAAAUCACUUUUUCAGCUCACAAAUCUUGAGUAUCUCGAUCUUGGCUCGAAUAAAUUGACAGGCACAAUAGAACUUGGCUCUAUAUGGAGGUUGAAAAAUCUCAUUGAUCUCGACCUGGGUAACAAUAUGAUAUCACUCGUAGAAAAAGAAGGUGAUACGAUAUUCUCUUAUUCCCUUAAAAUCCGGACCUUAUACCUUGCAUCUUGCAACCUUACAAAAUUUCCGGAAUCAUUAAAAUAUCUUGACACUAUUCAAAGGCUCGACCUUUCCAAUAACCAAAUUGAAGGGGCCAUACCAAGUUGGUUGUGGGAGAAACCCCUGGUUAGGUUGAACCUCUCACACAACAUGUUUACUACUUUAGAGAGGUCUCCUACUUUUCAGAUGACAGAUUUAGAUUCUCUUGAUCUCAGUUUUAAUAGAAUUCAAGGAAGCAUACCAAUACCAUCAACUCCAUCUUACCUAGUUCUGUUGGAUUACUCAAAUAAUGACUUCUCUACCAUGGAACCUAACUUUGGCAGGUAUCUUAGAAAUGCCAUCUACAUCAAUUUGUCAAAAAAUAAAUUAAGUGGCCAUGUACCACUUUCAUUUUGUAGUUUAAACCAACUUAAGCUCAUGGACUUAUCUUACAAUAACUUUAGUGGACCAAUUCCAUCAUGUCUUAUGGAAAGAGUUGACCUGAGCAUAUUGAAGUUAAGAGGAAACAAAUUACAUGGCGUGCUACCUGAAAAUAUCAGAGAAGGAUGUAAGCUUCAGACAAUUGAUUUCAAUGAAAAUCAAAUUGAAGGUGCGCUACCUAGAUCACUAGCAAAAUGCCAAGACUUAGAGGUUCUUGAUGUUGGCAGUAAUCAUAUUGUAGAUUCAUUUCCAUCAUGGAUGGGUACUCUUCCAAAGCUUCAAAUUCUUGUGUUGAGAUCUAACAAACUCUAUGGCACUAUAAGGGAUCUUCGCAGGGGCUACCAACACUUUACAAGUUUGCAAAUAGUUGAUUUGGCCUCCAACCAUUUCUCUGGUGACUUACAUUCCGAAUGGUUUGAGAAUUUUAUUUCAAUGAUGAAUAACAGCAAUGAUGAGGGGCAGAUAUUAGAGCACCAUCCAACUGCAGCAAUGGCACGAUUGUAUCAAGAUACUGUCACUAUCACAUUCAAAGAUGCUGUUUUAAGCAUCACCAAAAUCCUUCGUGCUUUCAAAGUAAUUGAUUUGUCAAAUAACUCAUUUGAGGGUUCCAUUCCAAGUUCAAUUGGAAGACUUGCUUCACUUCACGGACUUAACAUGUCGCACAAUAACUUCACGGGAGAAAUUCCAUCACAACUUGGGAAGUUAACAAGGUUGGAAUCAAUGGAUCUCUCUUGCAACCAUCUCUCGGAAGAAAUUCCACAGGAGUUUACCUCUCUAACUUCUCUUUCCUGGUUGAACCUUUCGUACAACAACUUGACAGGAAGAAUACCGCAGGGAAACCAAUUCUUGUCAUUUCCCAGCAGUUCGUUUGAAGGCAAUGCUGGCCUAUGUGGAAUUCAGCUUUCCAAGGAAUGUGACCCUCAUCCAGAUUCAACCACCCCAAGCACAUUGGCUCCAGAACACAAUGCUUUGUGGCAGGAUAGACUCGACGCCAUCAUUUUGUUCCUCUGUGCUGGCUUGGGCUUUGGCGUGGGUUUUGCAUUGGCAAUCAUAUUCGGUCCCUUUUACCACAUAGAAGAAUGGCUUUGCAAGCAUUUGUAAUAGUAAUAUAAGUUUUCAACAAGAAUAAUUAUGUAUGUUUGUGCUGUACUCGUUAUUAGAUGAGACAACUUAAAUCCACUCAGUUGUAAUUACGUUGUAACUAGUCCACCAACCCGUACUUCCACAUGGGCCAAUAUUUUUAAAAACUGUUGUAUUUGAAAAUUAUUUAGAAAUUAAACUCCAAGCUAAUAAUAAAAAGGGUUUACUUAUUACUCUCUCAUUUUUUCAAUACUUCAACAUAUUACUCAUAUGAUGUGUACUUAUCUCUGUUCAGUUGUGAUUGAUUUUUAAUUAGUAAUUACUCUAUACACUUUUUCAUCACAUUCACACUUUUUCAUUUUAUAUUGCACCUCCAUACAUUGUGUUUAGCAUCAAAAUUAAUAUUUCCAUCACUUCCUCACAUACAUGUAUAAAUGGUCUUCAUGGCGAUACUCAUCAUGUCUAUAUACCUUAACUUAGUAUUUCUCUAUUAACAAGAACAUAAACUAGUAACUAGAAUCAUAUAUUAGUUUUUUUGGACAUUUCUGUAUGAUGCACAUGCACAAAGAUAAUUAGAUUAAGAAUUAGGUGUUUACUUUAGAUUAUUUUUAAAAACGACAUACAUGGGUAACUUAGAUACAAACUUAGAAUGUCAUUUUAAGUUAUGCUUUAUAAUGAUAGACAUGAGUAAAUUGGAUGAAGAUUAUGGGCUUACUUUACAUUAUUUUUUAUAAUGGCAGAGCUCGGUAAUUUAGAUAUAGGUUUAGUGUUUAAAUGAUAGUGGUGGGUAACUUUUUAGAAACUAUAAUAUACCAAUGACUAUGAUUAAUAUAGUUUGCAUGAUCGAUAUUUGAUAUUUAUGAUUUUUAUGAGAAUUUCUAGGAUUUGUGUUUUUUAGCGUAUCUCUUCGUGCAGCCGUUGAGUUGUCCACUUAUGAUCCUAGGUAGCUUCACCUGGAGGCUUUAAAAGGAGACUCCAAUUAGUAAUAGUUACUGCAUUUCAUAAGUGAUUUUCAAAGAUAAUUUUUUGAGGCAAUAAAAAAAGUUGUGAUAUCACCUAGGUCUCAAAGAAAGUUGUGAUACCACUCUCCUUUUUGUUUUAUUUUUAUUUUAUUUUUCUGAUUCUCAUGUGUACAGCUUUGCAUGAUCAAGAAAAUUUAGGUAUGGUCUCCUCUCCCGACUUCUUCCUUUAAAAUUUGACAUCGAAGCGUGCGGAUUCUUCAUUUCAGGUGUUUCUUCUCAUUUUUCUUCGUUUUCUUUUCUUUUCCAAUUGUAGCUCAUUUUUCUUUUCAGCCCAUUCUUCUUUAUUUCAGGUGUCCGGAUUCUUUUCUUUUCGUUUUCUUUCCGUAUGCUCCUCUUGACCUUCAAUAUGCUUAACAUGUCAAACAAUAACUUCACGGGACAUAUUCCACCAGAACUUGUUAACUGUUGGCGGUCCUUAAAUACCAUAUCCGACCAUCAAUUCUAAUAAAGAAUAGUGAAAUAACAAAAACCAAACUAGAGAUAGGGGUUUAACUCUAACCAUUUUCACAAGCUUUGGUGAAUCAUUGUUUACAGGAGAUCGCGUCUCCAUACGAGGGAAAACAUGCUCAAACCCAUGAAGAAACACACGCUUCGGCCUAUCCUGAUAGAGCAUGAUACAAGAAGGGCCCACAUGACAUACUGUUGGCGCUAAAGAUCAGCCGAUCGAAUCUCAGCGUCGGACACACGACCCGGGAGAAUCUGCUUAACUCCUAUUCGGGUGAUCGCCCUAGUGCGGUUCGCGCGGCGUGCCAGCCAAUCUGACCUGUUGAUUGGCAAGGAAAGAAACGUGUCAGAUCCCAGAGGUUGCGAUCGGCUAAGGUUCCGAUCUCGAGGAAGCUUGUCAGCGACUCGGCCGAUUUGCUAUAAUAAGGAAAUCGGCUAUAGCGCAGCCGACUACUAGGUAACAUUUGUGAAGAAAGCUAUCAGAGUAAACUAAAAAAACGCUACAAUAGCAACACUUGAAACAGAUCUAAUCGGCUAUGCAAAAGCAGCGGAUAAGCGAUAAAUAUAAGUAAGCCGAAAGCUCUAAUUCCAAGCUAGAUAACUGGUGAUAAAAUUAGAACAGUAGGUAAACCCUAGAAUUCUAGUAAAUAUCGAUAACUGAUGAAUAAAUCUAAACGAAAUGACAGCGAUGCGCCCGAAGUUAAAGCUUAGAUAUUACUCGAUAAACGGAACUUACAGAAUCGUCCGGAGAUCAAGUCGAUGCAGCCCCGCCAACCCGUACGAACUCGUGGAAAGAAGAAAAGUACUGGCGAAGUCGCCGACUUAAAAAUAAAGUACGAGGAAAUAGUAGAUUGUUGUAUUGAUUUGAUGUUGUUUUUUCAGAUCUCUAAAGACGGCUAUUUAUAGCCUGUUACAACCAAUCUCUUAACCGACUAGGACUCUAUCUCUAAUAUUAAACGAAAAUGAAUAUUUACAAGCAUAACUCGUAUCGGAGUUGGUCGCCGCGCUCUUGUGGGCCAAUCCCCCCAUUAUCUUCGUAAUCCACUUUAAGCCCAUACUGGCCCAAUUGCUCCAGCCUCUUAAUCGGCCGAUCUGUACCAACUCCGUCCGCCAAAACACUGCAGCGUCAAUCGGCCAAUCUCCAACUAUAGCACCAAUCGGCCGAUUCCCAAUCGUGACCUUUUCAUCCUGCCGCAUCAGCUAAUCCUUCCCUUUCUUGACGCCGAUUCCAUACGUGUCAAAAAUUGGCGUCAACACAUACCAAAUCGCCUUAUCUUGGCGCGGGCCACCCUAGAUCCACAUGAGGAGCCCACAAGGAUCCACGACCAAAUUUGGGCCCAAACGGAGCCAGUAGGGGCUUGGCCGAACCCAUGGUUCGACCAAUCUGCCACUGGGCCCGAUCAAGCCCAUCUUUCGUGUGGAGUCUCCCACUGCCUUACUCGAGGCGGUUGCGGGAGGUUGGCGCGAAGCAACAAACCUGGACAUGGGAUCCUUCAGGAGUGGAGGGGAUAGAGGGAAUAUUCUAUGGGAUCUUUGGAGCAUAUCCACUCCCCCAAGGCUCCCUCUCCAAUAUAAAAGACCCCUUUGUCUCCAUUCAGCAAACAACAACACACAAGAGAAGAAGAGCUCCACCACUCCAAGGUAAAGGCCUACCUCUGUAGUGCUUAGAAAAUAGGGAGAGAGUGAGAGGUAGUUCGGAGAAGUGCUUAGAAAAAAGUUGUGAUAUCACCUAGACCUCAAAGAAAGUUGUGAUACUACUCUCCUUUUUGUUUUCUUUUUAUUUUUUUCUGAUUCUCAUGAGUACAGCUUUGCAUGAUCAAUAAAAUUUAGGUAUGGUCUCCCCUCCCGACUUCUUCCUUUAAAAUUUGACAUCGAAGCGUGUGGAUUCUUCAUUUCAGGUGUUUCUUCUCAUUUUUCUUCGUUUUCUUUUCUUUUACAAUUGCAGCUCAUUUUUCUUUUCAGCCCAUUCAUCUUUAUUUCAGGUGUGCAGAUUCUUUUCUUCUCCUUUUCUUUCCAUAUGCUCCUCUUGACCUCUUGGUUUUUACUACUACACUAGUGUGAUCAAGAAAUAUCUUGAAGCUUAGUUGUCUAUUAGCUAUACAUGAGUUGUUACCUAGUUGGCAUAUGUGAGUUGUUAUCUAGUUGUCAUAUUUGUUGUGAGUGAGUUGUGUCAGUCUUAUGAGCCUAUAAAUAGAGGCAAGCCUCAAGUUUGUAACUUGGUUUUGAUGUACCCACUACCUUAUGAAUAGGACAUGUUCUACCCUUUAGAUCUUGUACACUAAGGGCUUUGGACUAAACUCUUGCUAUCCAUGGAUUUGGAUUCGACCUUUUGAUCCAUCUUUGACUCUAGAACGAUAUGUAGCUCAGCACGUUGAAGUGGUUCCUUCAACACUUUGUGCUGUUUCUACCUAUUAGCACAUUGGAGAGGUUCCUCCAAUACUUGUGCUAUAUUUAUCUAUUUGUAGCAGCACCGUGGAGCUGUUCCUCCACAUUAGUGUUCUGAACUGCACCGUUGUAAUUCCACCAUAGAAAUAGGGCCAGUUCCGCCAUCAUCCAUUUAUGCACCAUACAUUUGUCAUGCGCUUUCCAGUUUGUAUUCCCAAAAUAGCAGAAUUCUUGAUAUGCUGGUUGUGACAGUAGCAUCAUCUCCAGACCUUUAGCUAACAUAUAUCCUUGCAUAGCUAUUUGUAACAGCUUACUCAGUGUUUGUCGCCACUCGAGAAUUGACCAGUUAAAUGGGCAUGCAGCUACACAAGAGAAAUGACUGCAAUAGUUCUCUUGGUAUGUAAAUACAUCCAUUUCUUGACCAUUAGGUUAACCAGACCGCUCAGCUGUAACCAUCCAUCCAUAUUGCAGGCUUCAUGAUCAAAUAAAAUAGCAUGAAGGUAUGACUGAAACAAACCAAGUCCUCGCCUGUAGCAAACAUCAAAUUGAUUCCCACACUCCAUCCUGAUUUGAAAAUGGAAAGGCCUCACUAUGCACAUGCUCAGUAGGUAAAUUUGUACGCAAGAAGAUUUUAUCUCUGAUGCCAUGGUUCCUAAGACAGCCACUUCACAAUUCUUACCAUUGAUGAUCCUAGAAUCAUAAGAUGCACAUCACUAGUUGAAUGAAGGUAAUCUUUCAACCACUGCUUUCUCACCUUGACUCUAGUAGAAUUGGCAGUCAAUAUGGACCACAGCCAUAAGGAUAUAUUUUGCACUACCAGCAUACUCACACAUGCAUUUCAGUUACUUGACAUUAUUAGAUCUACGAAGUAAUAGUCCUUCACCUAGAACUGUAUGCUGAAAUCGUCAUACCAUACCUCUCACACAUCCAUGUGGUUUGGACUGUGGACUGACCAACACAUCAGCCGCUAUUAGCCAUUGGUGUUUUUGACAGCAUUCUAACUUGAUAGCAACUAAAACUGAAAGCCGGCCAAGGUGCUGGUUGUAUCUCAGCACCACUAUCCAUAAUAUCCAGUUGUAUUGGCGGUGGCCAUGGAUGCUUCAGAAGCUCACCAUCUCUGCUUGGCUGAAUGGCGUCCACAAUAUUGGCCUUAGAUCAUCUGCACUGUGCAAACUCCAUGUAGUAUAGCAUGUGGCAGGAACAGGAGUACCGGCAUUACCCUGAACACCUUGCGGGCAUUGUAGACACCAGUGCCAAUACACAGCAGAAACAUGUCAUCUGUUGGAGCCGGGCUCUCGCUGGUGAUUUGGAAGUUGCAGACGUUGUUGCUGUUGAUUGUGGUGAACAAAGUUGGGGUGGUGACUAGAGGCCUAGAGCACUCAUGGUCGGUAGAACACAAGCAUUGUGGAUAUGACUGGGCGUUGAACACCUGUUGGGCGUCACAGAUUAGCACUCCGUAGUGGUGAUAGAGAUGGCUAGGGCGGCAUCCUGGUAAGAGUAGAGGUGGAGGUAGAGGGAGGUGCCGAGGAUGCGGUCUUGGACACCAGAAUGCAGGUGUCACCGUAAAGGGAAGUCUUUGGACACCUUGUGGGCGCCAUCUCUAGAACGUCGCUGGCCCUGACAGAACGACGCAGAAAGCUGUUGGUGAUGCCGAGGUCAUGGCUCUAGGCACUUGAAAGCAGGUAGCCGCCAUCAAACACCUGGUGGGCGCCACUGGUUGAAGCUCCGUGGCCGUGACGAGAAUGACAAUAGAGGCAUCCUGUGGUGGAAAGGAGGUCAGUGAAGGCACAACUGAGCAUUCCUUUCCUCGAUCAUCCGAUUCAUGUCAUCCCACUUCUGAUCUAGUUCUUCAAGGUUGGCUAGUAUCACAGCACACAUCUCCUCCGUCAUGUUCACUCGUAUUCCAAUGCGGUGCUAGUGGUGGUUUUUUGAUCGAAAUAGUUGUGAACCAAAUGUCACACCCUAGAUGCAACUCACAGAACAAAUUAUCUCCCAACAAUGAACUACGGAAUAUAUAUGGAGUAUACUAGAAUUUGGAUACACAUGGAUGAGGAACUCGCUGGUGUUCUCGAGCCGAAGCUCGCCGCCGCAGAGCCGAUGAGUCCCAAAUCCAGUUCUUCUGUCCCUCACGAUGAUAACGCUGCGCCAGCUACGCUAUCUACGCCAGCUACGCUGCUACGCUGCUAGAAUUAGAGUGAGAUGACCAACACAUUCUGCGCCAGCUACGCUGCAGCGAUGCCCGUUCAUGGGCCUAUCUUAACUACCUUAGCCAUUCGGGCCCAACAAGGAUAAUGUUGGGCUUCCGUACCUGAUGGCCCACAACUUCGGCUUUACUGCACUUAAGAUAAAUAUCAUGUACGGUUCACUGGAGAAGCCCUCCACCAGUUGUAGUUGCUAGUUAGUACAGGUCUUAUCUACAACCCUGCAUUAGCUAUCUCACUCUAAUUUGGCUAGCUGUCAGGACAGUCUGCUUACUCGAAACUUGAGGCAUGUUUCUUUAAUAUAAUUUUCUUUUCUUCUUGGAUGUUUAUAGCGCAUACGUGAUCUUUUGAAGUACUGCUAUAGAGAGGAAGACAAGUUCUUCUCAUUUAACAUCUUUUUUUUAAUUUAUUUUUGUUAAACUUUUAGAUCAAUCGUUUGAAUUCUCCUCAAUAUUUGCUUGCUUCAUGUUCUCUUUGUUUUUGUGCAACAGUAUGAUCUUGGAAUAGGAAUGCUGCAAGACAAUUCAAAUAGAAGGUUAGUUUCAUCAUAUUAUAUGGUUAAAAUUACUUUAAAAUUAUAUGGUUAAAAUUACUUUGUAAUGGUUGACUGUCACUGUUGUUUGCAUUGGCAGAUCAUGGAUGGAAUUCCUGCAAGAGCCAAGCACAAACUGUUGUCAGCGCUUCUCUGUUGAUGUUUCGUUUCUCGUUGCCACCUUUCUUGCAGACCGGUUAGGGUUAGGUUACACCAUCUGCUUCAGGUGAUUUCGGGAAUGUGGAAUGUUUCCUCUUCAUUUGAGAAGAAAGAGAGAGUGUUUUGUUGGAAUAUUACUGGUGCGUAGGUUUAUGCAUGGCUUUUCAGGGCUCAAAUCAAGGGGAAAAAAUAGACUAAUGGGCUGGUAAAUUUAUGUUCUGGUAAAAAUAGACUAAUGGCUUUAUUUAGUUCCACGAAUCCUGGUGAACUCCGGAACUUAAAAUGAAAUCCUAAAAUUGUUUCUCUAACCUCCUAUCUCAAUAUGGGCUGUUCUUUUUUUUUUUCUGGUCAACUAUUUCCCCCAACUUACGGACCCAUCUCGGCCUGCAGGCCUGCCGAGGCCUCUUCUCUCCUUUCGUCGUUCGGUCCCUCUAAUUUCGCUCUUGUGCUUGCGCACCAGGCGCCAUCUCUCACCGCGCCAGGAGCUUUGCAGCGCCAGACGGCCCCGCUCCACACCACAAUAUUCUUCCUUGGAACCUGCGGGCUCCGCUGAGCCGCUGCGUGAUCUUCUAUUCGCGACUCUGUGUACCUCGCCAUGUUACAAUUGCCUUCACUUUACUUCAUCAUUGCUCUCUAACCUAGGUACUCGGUUAUGAACAGCGCGCCGGCUAAGCGAGUACCCGGUGAAGGCGAGCGCAACGAGCCCUAGCACAUGGCAUCCAUCGAAAAUACAGAAUUUUCAGAGUAUGGAAUUUUCAGUCCGCGGUGUGGCCAACAUUAUCUUUAUAUGAUUUUAUUUGCAAACCGAGUUUUUAAGUAACAACGUAAAUAAAACACUCUCGUAUCAUUGCUCUAAAGGGGGAGUAAGGAAUAACAGAAAUAACGUCGUGCCAUUCCCCAGAAACAAAGAACAACUGUAAAAAUUGGUUCUAGAUGAAGCUAAAUUGACCAUCGAUGGCGAUUGUGUCAACACGGCAAACAUCCAUACAGCUAGCAUUGACUGACUUGGCUGAUAAAUCCAGGCCACUUCACUGUUGAGUACUUCAGGAAACUCGACAGGUCUUAUGACAAGUCUCGGUUGACUCGAAUUAUUGACCUUAGGACACUGACCUUGAUUUCCUCAUCCCCUUUCCUAUUGUCUUGCGGUCCAGAUGCCCAUUACCCAGUGCCUACCAGUGUGUGCUUCUCCCUCCGAUUGUACAUACGUGCGGGUCCCACAUAUCAGCCCCUUCCAUCCUCUUUACUUUAUAAUCUCCAAAGCAUGGGCCGCCCUUCUUUGUUACCUGUAUGGCUGUAUCACCUCCCCUGCCGAUGAGUGCCCAUGCAUGCUGAUACUUUGGUACCAUCUGCUCCAACCAAGCACCACCUCUCAUGCAAGUCAACAUAGAUGGUAUUUGGUGUCAAUUCACUGCUUAUAUUUUUAAAUGAAUUUAAUAUAAAUUUUGAUUAUCUAUUGCUUCUAAAUUCAUGUCGAAAUUAAUUUGAUAAUUUUUUAACCUAUAAUAUCCUAUACUUCAUUUUAUGAGGAAACUAUCAGAAAAUGAAUUGUAAUUUUUAUGACUCAUAUCUAUUUGCUCUCUUUAUUAGAUAUUUUGCUUUCCAAUUGUAUGUAAAUCAAACUUUUAUUUUAUUUUUAUCAUUCGGAGUUUUAGUUUUUUUAUUACUUCCAUGUCAAGAUGAUAUUCUGGACAAGAUUCCAAUCAACCUUUUGAAAAUCUAACCACUAUUGACAGCUUUUAGAAUAUUCAGUUUGAAAAUUAGAAUACUCAUUGAAAGACAUAAUAUAAUAUUUUGUAUGUUUAUAUAAUAUCUUCUUACUGAAAAUAGCGGCCACACAGCUAUGUUAUCCAAAACACCUUCUUUUCUUUAAGAACAGGGGAACGAUUGUUUUUUUCCUAUUUUAUUAAUAUGAUAUUUUAUAGUCAAUCCGGAGACUUCUUUUCUCUUAGCUUUGCCUUAUUAAAAUAACAAUUGAAGAUUCCGUAACUAUGGUUGGAGCCAGAUAUUUACUUCCAUGGCCCCAGUUCGCUGGUCUUCCUCUCGAGUCAGCGACCGGAAUGUGUGGUUCAGAGCAACCAGAGAACAGAAUAUCUACACACGAUUGAUUGGAAUUUGGAAACUGCAAACCAGUAGCGCAAUGGCUCCUGCCAAGGAUCGCCUCCACAACCUUCUGGUCCUGCUCUUGUUCAUAGGUUGCCUCUUCAUAGAUGCUGCCGCCAAGCUUAACACCACAGCGCCUUGCCUCCCGGAUCAAGCUUCUUCCCUCCUCCGGCUAAAAGCUUCCUUCAUCGGUGACAACCUACCAUCAUGGCAAGCUGCAACAGAUUGUUGCCACUGGGAGGGCGUCACCUGCGACAUGGCCUUUGGAAGAGUCAUUUCUCUUGACCUCAGUGAGUUCCACCUAAUGAGCAGGCGUCUUGAUCCUGCGCUCUUCAACCUCACCUCUCUCAGGAACCUCAGCCUUGCAUCUGUUGACUUCAGUGGAUAUUUCAUUUCGCUCCCGGCUUUUGGGUUUGAGCGGCUCACGGAUAUCAUUUACCUCAACCUCUCUGAUACCGGUUUUAAGGGUAAGAUCCCAAUUGGAAUUGCGUGCCUCAAGAACCUUGUGACCAUUGACUUGUCUGGUAAUUACAACUUGUAUUUUGAACGGCCAAGUUUCCAAACCAUCAUGGCAAAUAUGAGCAAUCUGAGGGAGCUUUAUCUUGAUGAAGUGGGUUUACAGGACAUCGGAUCGGAUUGGUCCACUGUUUUAGCAGACUCCGUUCCCCAGCUACAGAUUCUUAGUUUGUCCCGCUGUGAUAUAUCAGGUUCUAUCCACCCUUCAUUCUCAAGGCUUCGCUCACUUACAGCGAUCAACCUCGGAUACAAUGAUGGACUCACCGGCGGCAAAGUCCCGGAGUACUUUUCUGAACUAUCUUCCUUGACCAUUUUAGACAUAUCAGGAAAUCAAUUUGAAGGGCAAUUUCCAACAAAAAUAUUCCAGCUAAAAAGUUUGAGGACGCUUGAUUUGUCCUGGAACCCCAUGCUUUCUACGAGAUUAACAUAUUUCCCAGCUGGAAACAAUUUGGAAGUACUAAAUCUAGAAGGGACCAAUUUCUCUUAUGACACGCCAUCCUCGUUUGGUAAUCUCGAGUCUUUACAGACAUUGGGGCUUAGCACGAUGGGCAUUGAUAAUGAACUCGCCUCUUUGAUAUCUGAGCUUCCAGCAUUGGAUGACCUGCAACUCUUUGGGUCAGGUUUGGAGAACCCGGUAUUAUCUUGGGUCAGCAAUCUUACCCAAUUGACAAACCUGCAGCUUGAUGGUUAUGACUUCACUAAAUCGGUUCCCACUUGGAUCGGCAAAUUGACAAGGCUGGAAAGUUUGACGAUAGAGGAUUGCAGUUUCUCCGUGCCAAUACCAUACCAGAUUAGAAAUCUUACUAAAUUGGCAGCGCUGCAGUUCUCAGGUUGCGACUUCGCUGAGCAAAGAAUGCCAUCAUGGAUAGGCAAUCUUACAAAGUUGACUUCUUUGGUCAUUGGUGGUUGCAGUUUAUCUGGGCCAAUACCCUCAACAAUUGGGAACCUGAUCCAACUUGAAGAGUUGAAGUUCUCCUAUACUGACAUCAGCGGUGAGACUAUGUCCCAGUUACUUUCUUUCUAGAUACCUCAUUUUAUUUUGCAACUGUAGACAGACGCUUUAAUUUCUUUAAUUCGCUCUUGCUCCUCAUACUCGAACUAGGAAGCAGGGGAUACCUACUAUAUGACACGUCAUGCAUACACUGUUAAAAAAAAUAAUGAAUUUAAGUGAAGAAGAAAAUUUAACACUACCAAAUCAAUAGAGUGACCUUCAGAAAAAAAGAAAAAGGCUUUGGCUAGUAAUUUUCGGCGCUGUUGAGAAAAGAAAAACCCUGAUAUUUUCACUUUGAGUCUAUGACCAAAUUUUCAUAGUUUCACAGUUUGGAAGGUUAGAUGCCUUUAACACUAGUACACACGAGUCACGACUCAGGUCUUCUUUUCCUUCUUUUUUUUCUCUCUUGACAUGAUUCAUUUCAGAUACCAUAAUACAGUAUUGGUCCAUUUAUAAAUAUACCAAGGAAUAUUAAUUUUUUCGGACAGGCCUUUUUUAUUAUUUUGAUCAGAUUUACAUGUAAAUG